GUCUAUGGCCAUACCACCUGAACGCUCCUGAUCUCAGAAGCUAAGCAGGGUUGGGCCUGAUUAGUACUUGGAUGGGAGACAGACAUUUAUUUUACCAAGUAAUUUGAUGUCCACAGUGU
ensembl:rRNA 5S_rRNA 5S ribosomal RNA